UACGAAGGGGGCUAGCGUUGCUCGGAAUGACUGGGCGUAAAGGGCGCGUAGGCGGUUCGUACAGUCAGACGUGAAAUUCCCGGGCUCAACCUGGGGGCUGCGUUUGAUACGUACGGGCUUGAGUUCGGAAGAGGGUCGUGGAAUUCCCAGUGUAGAGGUGAAAUUCGUAGAUAUUGGGAAGAACACCGGUGGCGAAGGCGGCGACCUGGUCCGAUACUGACGCUGAGGCGCGAAGACGUGGGGAGCAAACAGG
rnacentral:rRNA from 1 species